rnacentral:lncRNA from 1 species
UUCCUACUUAACCUUCUGGCCUAUGGCCAUGUAAGCUUAUUGUUUUGCAGUCUGAAUAAAGCUAUUGACUCCUUCCUUUGGAAAGGAGAAAAAAUAUGCCAUGCCCUGUGAUAGUAUCUCUCAUGUCAAGUGCAUCUGUCACUUAUAUACAGAUUGUUACUCUAAAGCCAUUUUUAGCACUCAAAAAGAGAUCCUUAUAAUCAGGUGAUUUUAUUAUUUUGUUUAUACUAUUAAUUUGCUUUAUAAAUAAAUUUUAAACAUAUUGCAACUUGGAACCCAUUAAGUUGUAACAAAUUUGCAAAUGGUAGAGUGUGAAUUACUGGGUUGUCUUACCUGAAGGACCUGCUAGCGCUGCCUCAAGCCAGAUACAGUGCUUCCUCUGCUGAGGUCUGCAUUCUAAUGGACCAUUCAGCUCCCGAAUCCAAACAACUGUGUAUUUGAAGACUCAAUUUCUCUGUGGAACAAUAAAAAUAGAGUAAUAACUUUUAAUUCAGAUUUUAUUUGUUUUAAUCUCUUGGAGUAUCACCUUUCAGAGCAGAGUAAUAUUAUGGGAUAACUGUGGCCCUAGUAAAGCCCUGACCUAUGACAGAUUUCCCAUCAGUCACACACAAUUGUGUCAUUUUUAACCACCACCAGCUUCAGACUCUAGGACAUCUGAACCCCUACUUAAAGCCUUGUCUAAGAUCUCUAAUCAGUAUGAGUCUCUCCCUGUUUGCUUACUGGAGGAACCAGAUAACCUGGCCCUUGAUUGCAUUAAAUCAGUUUUAUUUCUUACCUUGCUCUUUUAUAGGCUUGCUUAUAAGAUCAAAGCUGUGUCAUAGAUUUUAUAAUCAUAUAUUUAUUACUCUACAUUACUGACAAUGCUGGCAAGACACAGACAGGUACUUAAUAAAAACCAUUGUCUAUAAAAUUUGACUGUUUUUGAAAAGUCGGAGGCUACAUGCUAGAAAUUGCAAUUUCUGAACUGAAAUCUGAACAUGGAUUUUCCCAGGGCAAUUCAAAUGAUUCCUGUUUGUCAUGCUAACACAUCUAUAGCUCCAAAAUAGAGGAGUUGAUAUUUUGGUUUCUGUAGGGCAAAAAGAUAAAGCUAAAAAAAGAGGAAGUCCCUGAUAUGUAGAAGUUACUGCGAAAUAGCAUUAAGCCUCAUGUGACUUGUGCCUUGGCACUUGGGAUUAUGUCCCUUUUGACAUUUUUACUGUUACCAUGGAUUAGGUCAGCAGACUGGAAUCUUUAUAGGGGGAAGUGCCUUAUCUGCUGAACACCUUGAAAUCUAGGAAACCCUUUUUAAAAUUUUAAUUAACAGCUUGGUCCAAAUAAAAUUUAGAUGACUGCUAUCUAAUAAGCUACAGCAUUUACUAUGUUGCGAAAGAGAGUCAGAGACAGACAGACAGACAGACAGACAGACAGAGAGAUCCAUCACAGCCAGCAUGAUGUCAGACUUAUCAUCCCAGUACAUGCACACAUGCACAGAAAGACAUGGCUGAGUGCCAGUAAUCUAAGCAUCAAGAGGGUUGCUACAGUUAGAAGCCACCAGGGCUACAUAGUGAGACCCUGCCUCAAAAAAAAUCAAACAGGGCUUGAGAGAUAACUCAGUGGUUAAGAGCACUGGUGCUCUUCCAGAGGGCCUAAGUUCAAUUCCCAGCAACCACAUGAUGGCUCACAAUCAUCUGUAAUGGGAUUCAAGGCCCUCUUCUGGUGUGUCUGAAGACAGCAAUAGUGUACUCGUAAAUAAAAUAAGUGAUUC